GGGGCCGUAGUUCAGUUGGAUAGAAUGUCAGCUUCCGAAGCUGAAGGUCGCAGGUUCGAGUCCUGCCGGCCUCA
rnacentral:tRNA from 1 species